rnacentral:guide_RNA from 1 species
AGAUAUUCUAAUAAACAAAUAUGUAGAGAGUUCGUGUAAUGUAGAUGUGAGUGGU